AUGAAGGCGGCUGCGGUCCUUGUGUUGGUCCUACUGGUGAUUACAUCCUCUGCUGCUGCAACUCCGGCCAGGAUAUUGGCUGGAGAUGACGGGCAGCAGACAGGCGAAAUGGUGAAGAAGAUGGAGGUGAACAGUCUGAACUUGUGGCACUCGGGUGCUGGUGCCCGAUAUGCAAAAGAGAUGCAAACGCCAACCACCAACCGCUGUUCAGUUCAUUUCCCCCACCUCAUUCUUCUUCCUCCUGCCACCUUGCCGCCGCCCCGUGAUUCGGCGGCCGCCCAUCGCAGCGUGCCGCCGCUGCCCCGCGACAGAUCUGCCAUCUCCUAUGCCCCCGCUGCCAAUCCUGCCGCGUUUCGACCGCCGCCCUCCAACCGACGCCGUGAAUCGCCUUAUCCGCCGUUGCCGCAGCCUCCGUUGUCGCCUCAACCUCCCCCUCACUGCCGUGUCGCCGCCCCGCCGCAGCCUCCGUCGUUGCAUCAACCUCCCCCGCAGCGCCAUCGCCAACCACCACCAUGUCGCCUCCCCGCCGUCGCCAACCAUCACUGCCCCCCCCCCCCACGGAUCGACACCAUGUCGUCGAAGAACACCUCGAAGAGCAAGACGGGGUUCUUCGAUGUGAGGGCGAAGCCCUCCGGCAACUUCAGACUGGUGUUCAGCGACGUCGGCCGCCUCUUUUGGCUCGGCACCUACCCCACCUUCCACGAGGCCGUGCGUGCCUAUGAAGUGGUGGUGUGGCUUGCCGGGAGGCCGAGGAUGGACCUUAACUUCUUGGAGAUCGAGACGCGGGCGGAUGCGGAGUUGCUCGUGCCAGGGGGCAUUCGUAUGGAGGAGAUCAUGACAAAAAAGACGAAGAAGAUGAAGAAGAGACCCACCAUUGUUGUUAGUCUUGGCAAUAGCGACGAGGCGGUGAUGGCAAGGUUCAUGUGGGAGCAUCCAAAGUAUGUGCAGGCCGAGCAGGAGUACCUUUGGAAGCGCAAUGUCGAGCAGAAGAAGAAGGAGGACGAGGCCGGCCCCUCGACGGCGAUCCCCAUUGUUUCUUACUCGUCAGACUGGGGUGAGUCGAUGGAGGUGGACGAGGGGUGCGACUACCCUAGCAAGGAUGAGUUCUGGGAGCAGUUCAAGAGCUCCGACGAGGAGUAG
rnacentral:rRNA from 1 species